AUUGAACGCUGGCGGAAUGCUUUACACAUGCAAGUCGAGCGGCAGCGCGGGGCAACCUGGCGGCGAGCGGCGAACGGGUGAGUAACAUAUCGGAACACACCCAGUCGUGGGGGAUAACACAGCGAAAGUUGUGCUAAUACCGCAUACGUCCUGAGGGAGAAAGCGGGGGAUCGCAAGACCUCGCGCGAUUGGAGUGGCCGAUAUCGGAUUAGCUAGUUGGUGAGGUAAAGGCUCACCAAGGCGACGAUCCGUAGCUGGUCUGAGAGGACGACCAGCCACACUGGAAAUGAGACACGGUCCAGACUCCUACGGGAGGCAGCAGUGGGGAAUUUUGGACAAUGGGCGCAAGCCUGAUCCAGCCAUUCCGCGUGAGUGAAGAAGGCCUUCGGGUUGUAAAGCUCUUUUGUCCGGAAAGAAAUGGCUCUGGUUAAUACCUGGGGUCGAUGACGGUACCGGAAGAAUAAGGACCGGCUAACUACGUGCCAGCCGCCGCCGUAA
rnacentral:rRNA from 1 species